rnacentral:rRNA from 1 species
CAGUCGCCGCGGGAAUACGAAGGGGGCUAGCGUUGUUCGGAUUUACUGGGCGUAAAGGGCGCGUAGGCGGGCGAAUAAGUCAGGGGUGAAAUCCCAAGGCUCAACCUUGGAACUGCCUUUGAUACUGUUUGUCUUGAGUUCGAGAGAGGUAAGUGGAACUGCGAGUGUAGAGGUGAAAUUCGUAGAUAUUCGCAAGAACACCAGUGGCGAAGGCGGCUUACUGGCUCGAAACUGACGCUGAGGCGCGAAAGCGUGGGGAGCAAACAGGAUUAGAUACCCGCGUAGUCCCUGUCUCUUAUAA